rnacentral:rRNA from 1 species
CUACGGGUCGCUGCAGUGAGGAAUAUUGCACAAUGGGGGGAACCCUGAUGCAGCAACGCCGCGUGGAGGAUGACGCAUUUCGGUGUGUAAACUCCUUUUAUAUGUCAAGAAAAUGACGGUAGCAUAUGAAUAAGCACCGGCUAACUCCGUGCCAGCAGCCGCGGUAAUACGGAGGGUGCAAGCGGUACUCGGAAUCACUGGGCGUAAAGGACGCGUAGGCGGGUUGGAAAGUCAGGUGUGAAAUCCUACAGCUUAACUGUAGAACUGCACUUGAAACUUCUAAUCUAGAGUAUGGGAGGGGGAGAUGGAAUUAGUGGUGUAGGGGUAAAAUCCGUAGAUAUCACUAGGAAUACCUAAAGCGAAGGCGAUCUCCUGGAACAUUACUGACGCUAAGGCGUGAAAGCGUGGGGGGCAAACAGGAUUAGAUACCCGGGUAGUC